rnacentral:rRNA from 1 species
UACGUAGGGUGCAAGCGUUGUCCGGAAUUAUUGGGCGUAAAGAGCUCGUAGGCGGUCUGUCGCGUCGGAUGUGAAAAUCCAGGGCUCAACCCUGGACCUGCAUUCGAUACGGGCAGACUAGAGUUCGGUAGGGGAGAACGUGAAUUCCUGGUGUAGCGGUGAAAUGCGCAGAUAUCAGGAAGGAACACCGGUGGCGAAGGCGGUUCUCUGGGCAUUACCUGACGCUGAGGAGCGAAAGUGUGGGGAGCGAACAGG